rnacentral:rRNA from 1 species
CGAACGCUGGCGGCAUGCCUAACACAUGCAAGUCGAACGAGACCUUCGGGUCUAGUGGCGCACGGGUGCGUAACGCGUGGGAAUCUGCCCUUGGGUACGGAAUAACAGUGAGAAAUUACUGCUAAUACCGUAUGAUGACGUAAGUCCAAAGAUUUAUCGCCCAAGGAUGAGCCCGCGUAGGAUUAGCUUGUUGGUGAGGUAAAAGCUCACCAAGGCGACGAUCCUUAGCUGGUCUGAGAGGAUGAUCAGCCACACUGGGACUGAGACACGGCCCAGACUCCUACGGGAGGCAGCAGUGGGGAAUAUUGGACAAUGGGCGAAAGCCUGAUCCAGCAAUGCCGCGUGAGUGAUGAAGGCCUUAGGGUUGUAAAGCUCUUUUACCCGGGAAGAUAAUGACUGUACCGGGAGAAUAAGCCCCGGCUAACUCCGU